GGGAGAACAUGGCAGGAGGAGGAAGAAGCUCAGCUCAGUGGAUGCAGAGUGGGAGGCUUCCUAUUACUGAUGUGUAAAGUGGGAAAACAGCAACUCUACGUUGAAACUUAACAAGAUAAAAAGGAAAACAGAAGAUAAUACAUACAAGCUAAAAUGGUGAUCUAACUGUUGUGGGAUUCUACAUGAACAACGCUGUGGACGAAUUAUAUGGACGUGUGAGCAAAGCCUGGUGU